GAUGAACGCUAGCGGGAGGCCUAACACAUGCAAGCCGAGCGGUAUUGUUUCUUCGGAAAUGAGAGAGCGGCGUACGGGUGCGGAACACGUGUGCAACCUGCCUUUAUCUGGGGGAUAGCCUUUCGAAAGGAAGAUUAAUACUCCAUAAUAUAUUGAACGGCAUCGUUUAAUAUUGAAAGCUCCGGCGGAUAGAGAUGGGCACGCGCAAGAUUAGCUAGUUGGUGAGGUAACGGCUCACCAAGGCGAUGAUCUUUAGGGGGCCUGAGAGGGUGAUCCCCCACACUGGUACUGAGACACGGACCAGACUCCUACGGGAGGCAGCAGUGAGGAAUAUUGGUCAAUGGGUGCAAGCCUGAACCAGCCAUCCCGCGUGAAGGACGACUGCCCUAUGGGUUGUAAACUUCUUUUGUAUAGGGAUAAACCUACCCUCGUGAGGGUAGCUGAAGGUACUAUACGAAUAAGCACCGGCUAACUCCGUGCCAGCAGCCGCAGUAA
rnacentral:rRNA from 1 species